CCCUUAGAUGUUCUGGGCCGCACGCGCGCUACACUGAUGCAUUCAACGAGCCUAUCCUUGACCGACAGGUCCGGGUAAUCUUUGAAUCUGCAUCGUGACGGGGAUAGAUUAUUGCAAUUAUUAAUCUUCAACGAGGAAUGCCUAGUAGGCGCACGUCAUCAGCUUGCGUCGAUUACGUCCCUGCCCUUUGUACACACCGCCCGUCGCUCCUACCGAUUGGGUGUGCUGGUGAAAUGUUCGGAUCGGCCGUUUGUCGCGGUUUCCGCGUCAUGUGGCUGAGAAGUUCAUUAAACCCUCCCACCUAGAGGAAGGAGAAGUCGUAACA
rnacentral:rRNA from 1 species